rnacentral:tRNA from 1 species
AUUUAUAUAAUUUAUAAAGAAUAUUGUGUUGAAGUUACAAAAGAGAUAUUUAUAUCUGUAAAUA